CCUACGGGAGGCAGCAGUGGGGAAUAUUGGACAAUGGGCGAAAGCCUGAUCCAGCAAUGCCGCGUGAGUGAUGAAGGCCUUAGGGUUGUAAAGCUCUUUUACCAGGGAUGAUAAUGACAGUACCUGGAGAAUAAGCUCCGGCUAACUCCGUGCCAGCAGCCGCGGUAAUACGGAGGGAGCUAGCGUUGUUCGGAAUUACUGGGCGUAAAGCGUACGUAGGCGGUUAUUCAAGUCAGAGGUGAAAGCCUGGAGCUCAACUCCAGAACUGCCUUUGAAACUAGAUAGCUAGAAUCUUGGAGAGGUGAGUGGAAUUCCGAGUGUAGAGGUGAAAUUCGUAGAUAUUCGGAAGAACACCAGUGGCGAAGGCGACUCACUGGACAAGUAUUGACGCUGAGGUACGAAAGCGUGGGGAGCAAACAGGAUUAGAUACCCUGGUAGUCCACGCCGUAAACGAUGAUAACUAGCUGUUCGGGCUCUACGAGCUUGAGUGGCGCAGCUACGACAUUAAGUUAGUCCGUCCGUCGGGAGGUACGGUCGCGAGAAUAAACGUACGAAGAAGUAGUACGGCGUGAGACGUGCCGACGGACGACGACGAGGGAGGAGG
rnacentral:rRNA from 1 species